CGCGAUUCAGACUGCGGUGCAAUCAUAAUGUAUGAAUAUAGGACUUUACUUUUAAGUCUUACCCAAUUUAGUGCGUCAUAUACAACCAAAAUCAAACCCGUUUGUAUUAAAAAUGGGUAGCUAGGUAUACACAUAUUCUAUGUCAGCAGGGUGUGUUUGUUUUUUGAAAUUUGUCGCCAUAUCUUUAUAACGAUACGUUUCAACGGUCUUGACUUUAUUCAAAUACGGCGUAGUCUUAUAGGUAUAUAAAUGCUAUUUACAUUUUACAAAGCCGACCUAGUUGCAGAGUAUAGUAUAACUAUAUCGUCAUUUUUCUAAGAGUU